rnacentral:rRNA from 1 species
UGUUAAUGACCCGGCCUCCUCAUUGGGGCCGAUCACUAGAUCAAAGCUACGCUAGGGAUAACAGGCUAAUUGAGGGUUAUAGACCGCAUAGAGCCCUCAGUUUGGCACCUCGAUGUCGACUUAUCUCUUCCUGGCAGUGCAGAAGCUGCCAAGGGUCCUAUUGUUCAUAGGUUAAAGAGGUACAUGAGUUGGGUUAACAACGUCGCGAGACAGUUGGGUUCCUAUCUAGCAGGGGUAAAGAAAAGGAAAGGUGAAGACCACGACCCAGUACGAGAGGAUCUUUCGAAGGGGACCACUGGUGACUAUCGAGGAAGAGAUAACAGCUAAGUCCCCAAAAGUGAAGUACUGAACCCAUCUCAAGUACGAAACUUGCUUCACCUUCCAUGGCUAAAAUAGAGAUCUAGAUC